rnacentral:rRNA from 1 species
GAUGAACGCUAGCUACAGGCUUAACACAUGCAAGUCGAGGGGUAACAAGAGAAAAGCUUGCUUUUCUUGUUGACGACCGGCGCACGGGUGAGUAACGCGUAUCCAACCUGCCUAUAACUAGGGAAUAACCUUGCGAAAGUAAGACUAAUACCCUAUGAUUUCCUUUGAUGACAUCAGAUUAGGAAUAAAGAUUUAUCGGUUAUAGAUGAGGAUGAGUCUGAUUAGCUUGUUGGCGGGGUAACGGCCCACCAAGGCAACGAUCAGGAGGGGUUCUGAGAGGAAGGUCCCCCACAUUGGAACUGAGACACGGUCCAAACUCCUACGGGAGGCAGCAGUGAGGAAUAUUGGUCAAUGGGCGGAAGCCUGAACCAGCCAAGUAGCGUGCAGGAUGACGGCCCUAUGGGUUGUAAACUGCUUUUAUACAGGAAUAAAGUUAGCCACGUGUGGUUAUUUGUAGGUACUGUAUGAAUAAGGACCGGCUAAUUCCGUGCCAGCAGCCGCCGUAA